UUUUUCAGGUAAUGGCUCGUGUAUUACCUAUGUACCAGAGAAUCUUGGCAGUGGGUCUGGGAGUGGGACCGAUAAGAACAAUUGAAAUCUCAAGGAGCAGGUGGUCAUGGUUGCUUGAUGCAGGCCAUGAAAUGAAUGAAUGCUGGAUUUUGGAUUGGACUUUGUUUUCUAUCUAUUCUUUUGAAAUUUGAACUUGAUUUGUGUUGUUGUAGUCGAUUAGACUUAGAUUUAAUUUGUGUUGUAAUGGACUAUGGACUAUGGACUUUAAGUUUAAACUUUAAUCAUGUGUUGAGAUUUGUGGUUGUAGUCUUUUGGUUUUAAAUUUUAAUUGGGUUGUGUCUUGGAUUGAACUAAUAGAUAUUGGAGUAUUAGACUUUUGAUGA